rnacentral:rRNA from 1 species
AGCGAACGCUGGCGGCAGGCCUAACACAUGCAAGUCGAACGAACCUUUCGGGGUUAGUGGCGGACGGGUGAGUAACACGUGGGAACGUGCCUUUAGGUUCGGAAUAACUCAGGGAAACUUGUGCUAAUACCGAAUGUGCCCUUCGGGGGAAAGAUUAAUCGCCUUUAGAGCGGCCCGCGUCUGAUUAGCUAGUUGGUUGAGGUAAUGGCUCACCAAGGCGACGAUCAGUAGCUGGUCUGAGAGGAUGAUCAGCCACAUUGGGACUGAGACACGGCCCAAACUCCUACGGGAGGCAGCAGUGGGGAAUCUUGAGCAAUGGGCGAAAGCCUGACGCAGCCAUGCCGCGUGAAUGAUGAAGGUCUUAGGAUUGUAAAAUUCUUUCACCGGGGACGAUAAUGACGGUACCCGGAGAAGAAGCCCCGGCUAACUUCGUG